AGAGUUUGAUCCUGGCUCAGGAUGAACGCUAGCGGCAGGCUUAACACAUGCAAGUCGAGGGGUAUAAGUCUUCGGAUUUAGAGACCGGCGCACGGGUGCGUAACGCGUAUGCAAUCUACCUUUCACAGAGGGAUAGCCCAGAGAAACUUGGAUUAAUACCUCAUAGUAUAUAGAGUUGGCAUCAACACUAUAUUAAAGUCACAACGGUGAAAGAUGAGCAUGCGUCCCAUUAGCUUGUUGGUAAGGUAACGGCUUACCAAGGCUACGAUGGGUAGGGGUCCUGAGAGGGAGAUCCCCCACACUGGUACUGAGACACGGACCAGACUCCUACGGGAGGCAGCAGUGAGGAAUAUUGGACAAUGGGCGCAAGCCUGAUCCAGCCAUGCCGCGUGCAGGAUGACGGUCCUACGGAUUGUAAACUGCUUUUGCACAGGAAGAAACAACUCUACGUGUAGAGUCUUGACGGUACUGUGAGAAUAAGGAUCGGCUAACUCCGUGCCAGCAGCCGCGGUAAUACGGAGGAUCCAAGCGUUAUCCGGAAUCAUUGGGUUUAAAGGGUCCGUAGGCGGUUUAGUAAGUCAGUGGUGAAAGCCCAUCGCUCAACGGUGGAACGGCCAUUGAUACUGCUAGACUUGAAUUAUUA
rnacentral:rRNA from 1 species